GGUGAUCCUCCUACCUCAGCCUCCCAAGUAGCUAGAACUACAGGCACACACCACCACGCCCAGCUAAUUUUUUGGAUUUUUAGUUGAGAUGGGGUUUCGCCAUGUUGCCCAGGCUGGUCUUGAACUGAGCCACCACACCUGGCCAAAAAAAAAUUUUUUUUUAAUUAGACAGGCGUGUUGGUGCAUGCCUGUAGUCCCAGCUACUCAGGAGGCUGAGGUGGGAAGAUUGCUUGAGCUUGGGAGUUUGAGGCUGCAGUGAGCUGUAAUCGCACAAUGAGCCGAGAUUGUGCCACAGCACUCCAGUGGUGACAGAGUGAGACCCUGUCUCAAAAAAAAAAGAAGAAAGAAAAGAAAAAGAAAAAAAUAUCUGGAGUUCAUAGAUGAACUACAUGAUAAGGAGUCGUAAAGCCAGUACCGGCUUUGAAUACCAGGUUAAAUACCAGGAUGGACAAAUGAAUGAAUCCUCCCACCAUGGUUAACGUUAGUCAAGCCUUAGUUGAGGCCUUGUAACCAUGUAUAGAGACUCUGAAGCUUAGGAUUAAGAACACUGGGGAGUGGGCUAACUGCCCAUUGUGUGGCCAGCACUAUACCAGGACUGGGUGAGGUGAAGAAAGAUAGCAAAAAAAACCCCCACGAUACAUAGUUCCUCACUACAAAGAAUCUUUACUAUAGCUGGGGAGAUGAGACUUAUAGAAGAAUAUUGAGAGAACACUCUGAGCAAAGAUAUAAUCAGGUAUGCAGUUGUAUGCUAUGAGGUAAAAUGUGGAUUGAGAAAAAGUACGUGGUAAUAUCUGUGGGCCUGACUCAUCAGAGAAUGUUUCAUGAAGGAGGUCAGACUUGAGUUGGCCUCUGAAGAAUAGCUGUGAUUGGGAUUUGUGGAGAAGAGGAAAAGAAAGGGCAUUCCAGGUAGAGGAUGUAACGUGAACAAAGACAUGGGGACCAGAAUGAGGAUGGUGCCUGGGGAGAAGGGCCUGGAUGGAGUGUAAAAUCUGUGCUGGGGAAGUCACUGGGGCUAGGCUAGGAGGGGGCAGGCUGAGAGAUGGCCUUGAAUGCUCAGCCGAAGAAUUGAGACGCAGUCCCAGAAAGGGCUCUUUUGAUCAGAAGAGUGAUAGGAGGAGUUGGGUAUGUUGCAAGGUUCCUUGGAAUGAAUGGAUAGGAUGUGUACUGGAAGGUGCAAGAAGAAGACUUCAGGCCAGGCACGGUGGCUCAUGCCUGUAAUCCCAGUACUUUGGGAGGCCCAGGCUGGUCUAGAACUCCUGACCUCAAGUGAUCCACCCACCUUAGCCUCCCAAAGUGCUGGGAUUACAGGUGUGAGCCACCGCACCCAGCCCUAUUUUUCAUUUUUGUAACAGAAAAAUAGCUAAUGCAGAAUUGAAAAAUUCCUAACCAUUAAGGUUAUGAGACACUAAAAUAGAGUAUCAUCUUAUGCAACUUAUUCCCCAGACUGGAAGUCUGGUUAGUGACACGAGGAAUGAAUGAAAUAACCUGCUAACGUUUCUUUCAGGUCAGGGACCCAAGGUUUAUACUGACCCCCUCUCCUCACCUCCCUCAUGCCUUGACCUCUGACCCUCUUAUCUUUGGAGGUUUUCACACCAGACACUGCAGCAGACACCCAUGAUAAGUACCAUGACUCCAAUGAGUGCCCAGGGCGUCCAGGCAGGCGUCCGUUCAACAGCCAUCCUACCUGAGCAGCAGCAGCAGCAG
rnacentral:lncRNA from 10 species